rnacentral:rRNA from 1 species
UGCAUAUCCAAUAAGCGGAGGAAAAGAAACCAACCGGGAUUGCCUCAGUAACGGCGAGUGAAGCGGCAAAAGCUCAAAUUUGAAAUCUGGCACUUUCAGUGUCCGAGUUGUAAUUUGUAGAAGUAGUUUUGGGACUGGUCCUUAUCUAUGUUUCUUGGAACAGGACGUCAUAGAGGGUGAGAACCCCGUAUGAUGAGGCCCCCAGUCCUUUGUAAAACGCUUUCGAAGAGUCGAGUUGUUUGGGAAUGCAGCUCUAAGUGGGUGGUAAAUUCCAUCUAAAGCUAAAUAUUGGCGAGAGACCGAUAGCGAACAAGUACAGUGAUGGAAAGAUGAAAAGAACUUUGAAAAGAGAGUGAAAAAGUACGUGAAAUUGUUGAAAGGGAAGGGCAUUUGAUCAGACAUGGUGUUUUGCGCCCUUUGCUCCUUGUGGGCGGAGGAUACGCAGCUCACUGGGCCAACAUCAGUUUUGGGAGCAGGAUAAAUCUGUAGGAACGUAGCUUUCUUCGGGAAGUGUUAUAGCCUAUGGGAAUACUGCUACCUGGGACUGAGGACUGCGUCUUUUGACAAGGAUGUUGGCAUAAUGGUUAAAUGCCGCCCGUCUUGAACCAAGGGAACCA